AAUGAACGUUGGCGGCGUGGAUUAGGCAUGCAAGUCGAGCGAGAACCCAGCAAUGGGGGACAGCGGCGAAAGGGACAGUAAUGUGUAGAUUAUCUGCCCUCGGGUCCGGGAUAGCUGCGGGAAACUGCAGGUAAUACCGGAUAACAUCUCCGGAUCAAAGGUGUGAUUCCGCCCGAGGAUGAGUCUGCAUCCUAUUAGCUUGUUGGUGGGGUAAUGGCCUACCAAGGCUUUGAUGGGUAGCGGGUGUGAGAGCACGACCCGCGUCAUUGGGACUGAGACACUGCCCAGACACCUACGGUGGCUGCAGUCGAGAAUCUUCGGCAAUGGGCGCAAGCCUGACCGAGCGACGCCGCGUGUGGGAUGAAGGCCUUCGGUGUAACACUAGUCAGAGGGAGUGAAAUAGCAGGUGGGUUCGUCCCUACUUCGUUUGUACAUAGCUCAGAGGAAGGACGGGCGUAAGUUCGUGCAGCAGCCGCGGUAA
rnacentral:rRNA from 1 species